AUGGGCAAACAACCGAGGACGCAGGCACGGAGAAGCGGCAACAUCAGGAGAUGCCAUUUCCACCCGAAGGUGGGGGGGAGAAGCCCGAGAAAGUCACCUAGGUGGCAGUCUAUGGGGUCAAAGGGUAACCGACUAUCUCUAGCAAUUUGCCGGCUAACUCGGGUACGGGGGAGCGUCAAGCCCCAGAUCCACAGACAGAUCCCCUGCGUUACCAAGGGGAAGGGGAGAGAAACCUCUACCCUUCCCCUUAACAGGCAUUUUAGAAGGAAACAACCACAUAACUUUGUUAGACAUUACAAACAUCUACACCACACUGUCACUCACCAAAAAAACGCCUUAGCAAGCCGAGGAAGCCCCGGUCGCUGUAAGGGCCCGCAGGGCCGUUUCACUUUGCACGUGUCGAUGUUAAUUUCGAACACACCAUUUUCGCACUAAGUAUAAUAUAAACAGAGUAAAAAGGGCAACUAUGAGAAAACCAUGAACAGUGAGUGGAUCUAUCUGAAGGUAAAUGUUUCCGUUUCUCUCCGAGUAGUUAUUUUCAAUAUGGUUGUCUAAGAUACCCAUUUUAAAGGAAACAGUCAAUAUAAAAUAACUGAUUAAAACUCAACACGCGCACAAUACGCAAAACACUUAAGUUCACACUGGCAUCAAAAAGGAAGCGGUCGGAAAUCCCGGAGUCAGAACAUGAUAAAAAUUUGGAAAGAUGACUCACCACACACAUUACAACACUUGUUUACGUAACAGAACUGCGUAGGAGCAAUUAAGGCUCUCCGUGAGGAACGGAAGUCGGAAUCUCGAGUGAGUACUUUUAAAUAGUACAUGUAAAAUUUGUAAAUAUAGACAUUCGUGCAAACAUCCAAAUUCAAAUUUUGAAUAUUCAAACAUUCAAACAUUUAUACAUUUAUAUAUUUAUUUAUGGCGCGAUGGACCAAUCUUGGAAGUAAGCAAAAACCUUGUGGGCAAAAUCUCAAUAUCUCCCAUGAUCCGACCAACCGUAAAGAGUAUUAUGGGUAGUCAGAAACAUGUACAGUGCCAAGAAACAACAACCAGUAUGACAAUCAAUAACAAAGCGAACAUUGGCGCUAUGUAUGAAUCAUAGCUUUGAUCUUACGCUUACACGUCAGCGAAAGUGCUUUUUUGCCCCCUGUUUUCAAGCGAAGGAGCCUGCCCUCGUGGAAUAAUAAAAUUUUGUGGGUCUCUAACGAACGGAUCCUCCAGACUUUUUCAGGUUUUUGUAGAGCUCGUUGUGAAGGCUAGACUUCUCGGAUAAUUACAUAUGCCGUGGCGCGGAAAAUAGAAGCCGCCGGGCCUCGCAGACCCGGUUGGGAAUCUAAGGGUUAACUCUAAAUGUCUAUUGAAGUUCAAAUUCUUUGUAAUAUAAAAGCCUAAAUAUUUUAGGAUCUCUACAGUUUCGAUUUCAGUUUCAUCUAUUUUAAUCUUAGCUUUCAAAUCGUCUUUUUUGCCAUCUAUUAUUAUUGCUUCAGUUUUGCUUUCUUCCAUACUUAAUUUUUUCUUUUUUAAGUUUUUUUUCAGUCUUUUUGAGGUAAUUUCUGUCUCUUUUAGGAGAGCUGUCUUAUCCUCUGUCUCAAAUGCCAAAAGAGUAUCAUCUGCAUAAACGUUUUUAUCAGAUCCAUUAUUCAAUCUAAGUCUUACGAUAUCAUCAAAGGUAAUUAAAAAUAUAAGAGGUCCCAAAAUACUGCCCUGUGCUCCGCCCGAGUUUAAUUUUAUCUUACCAUUUGCUCUUGUUCUCCGUAUUUUGUGCAACAUUCCUAUAAAUCUGAUUAAUAAAGUGAUAAACUUCUUCUCAAAAUUUCGUGUCUUUAAUUCUCACUCCAUCUCUCGUAGUUUGUGGAUCCUACGUUAACAAAGAUCAGCUGGUGCCGAAACGGUUAUUAUUUUUGAACUUUAUUUCUAUCACAUCACCAACGAGAAUAAGAUAAUUUUUCUACUGCAUCUUAUUCAUUGCAUAGUGUCAAAACCGACUCUUAUUCAUUACAGUUCUUUUUUCAAAAUAAUGCAAGGUAGAUUUACACAGGUAUGGACAAGUUGAAAAUUUCCCAUGAGCCUCAGUACGUGUCACAUGACUUCGUGACGUAGGUUAAGGGGCCCGUUUGACCACACUAUUCUCAACUUCAUGAAUGUAUUGCUCCAUUUAAACAUCAAAACACUAUCACACAUUAACAAUGGUAGGUAAUAAAAUCCUCAGGAACAAUUAAAUUAUCUCCAAAACUCAAAUAACGAAUUAUUACCAAACUGGAGCAACAUACCAAUAAGUCACCAACCAAUCACAAUAAUGAAAGCAUAAAAAUGGCGGAAGUUAAGGGGCCACUAGAGAGCCAAUCAGAGGCCGGGUUUUCAACUUGUCCAUACCUGUGUAAAUCUACCUUGAAAAUAAUGCUCCUUACGCUCAAAUUAACAAAAUAUGUGAGCAGAGGUAACGUAUGUGAACUAGCUCAGAAAGUGCCUGUUUGACAUCCAUUUACUCCUGC
rnacentral:lncRNA from 1 species